rnacentral:misc_RNA from 1 species
AGCAGCCGCGGUAAUUCCAGCUCCAAUAGCGUAUAUUAAAGUUGCUGCAGUUAAAAAGCUCGUAGUUGAAUUUCGGGACCAAUAUGUCGGUCGUGCCUCGGUACGUACUGGCAUCGUUGGUUUCUCCUUUCUGAAGAACCAUGAUGUCAUUUAUUUGGUGUCGUGGGGAAUCAGGACUGUUACUUUGAAAAAAUUAGAGUGUUUAAAGCAGGCUCACGCUUGAAUACAUUAGCAUGGAAUAAUGAAAUAGGACGUUUGAUUCUAUUUUGUUGGUUUCUAGGAUCGACGUAAUGAUUAAUAGGGAUAGUUGGGGGCAUUAGUAUUCAAUUGUCAGAGGUGAAAUUCUUGGAUUUAUUGAAGACUAACUACUGCGAAAGCAUUUGCCAAGGAUGUUUUCAUUGAUCAAGAACGAAAGUUAGGGGAUCGAAGACGAUCAGAUACCGUCGUAGUCUUAACCAUAAACUAUGCCGACUAGGGAUCGGAUGAUGUUAAUUUUUUAAUGACUCAUUCGGCGCCUUAC